AUUGAACGCUGGCGGCAUGCCUUACACAUGCAAGUCGAACGGCAGCACGGGUGCUUGCACCUGGUGGCGAGUGGCGAACGGGUGAGUAAUACAUCGGAACGUACCUUAUCGUGGGGGAUAACGCAGCGAAAGCUGUGCUAAUACCGCAUACGCCCUGAGGGGGAAAGCGGGGGAGCGCAAGACACCGCGCGAUUAGAGAGGCCGAUGCCUGAUUAGCUUGUUGGUGGGGUAAAAGCCCACCAAGGCGACGAUCAGUAGCGGGUCUGAGAGGACGAUCAGCCACACUGGGACUGAGACACGGCCCAGACUCCUACGGGAGGCAGCAGUGGGGAAUUUUGGACAAUGGGGGCAACCCUGAUCCAGCAAUGCCGCGUGAGUGAAGAAGGCCUUCGGGUUGUAAAGCUCUUUUGUCAGGGAAGAAACACCGGCUCUAACACAGUCCGGGAAUGACGGUACCUGAAGAAUAAGCACCGGCUAACUACGUGCCAGCCGCCGCCGUAA
rnacentral:rRNA from 1 species